rnacentral:rRNA from 1 species
AUUGAACGCUGGCGGCAGGCUUAACACAUGCAAGUCGAGCGAGCGGCGGACGGGUGAGUAAUGUCUGGGAACCUGCCUGAUGGGGGGGUAUCACUACUGGAAACGGUAGCUAAUACCGCAUACCAUCAGAUGUGCCCAGAUGGGUUUAGCUAGUGGGUGGGGUAAGGGCUCACCUAGGCGACGAUCCCUAGCUGGUCUGAGAGGAUGACCAGCCACACUGGAACUGAGACACGGCCCAGACUCCUACGGGAGGCAGCAGUGGGGAAUAUUGCACAAUGGGCGCAAGCCUGAUGCAGCCAUGCCGCGUGUGUGAAGAAGGCCUUCGGGUUGUAAAGUACUUUCAGCGGGGAGGCGUUACUCGCAGAAGAAGCACCGGCUAACUCCGUGCCAGCAGCCGCGGUAAUUC